CAGCAGCCGCGGGAAUACGAAGGGUGCAAGCGUUAAUCGGAAUUACUGGGCGUAAAGCGUGCGUAGGCGGUUUGUUAAGUCUGCUGUGAAAUCCCCGGGCUCAACCUGGGAAUGGCAGUGGAUACUGGCAAGCUAGAGUGUGUCAGAGGAUGGUGAAAUUCCCGGUGUAGCGGUGAAAUGCGUAGAGAUCGGGAGGAACAUCAGUGGCGAAGGCGGCCAUCUGGGACAACACUGACGUUGAGGCACGAAAGCGUGGGGAGCAAACAGGAUUAGAUACCCCCGUAGUCCCUGUCUCUUAUAC
rnacentral:rRNA from 1 species